CUCGACCGUCAUCGAAUAUGGACACCAGACGGAAAAUCCUUCAGCCGGAAUUCUUCGAUCGACUCCCUUUCCUCCUUCUCUUUCGUGAGCGACGAACGAGCUACCACGACCACGGCCGUUCUCAGAGUUGAAUCCUAGUUUAUAUCUUGCGAUAUAAAGUGGCCAACCCAAGGAUGAGUGGACUUCUGACUCGGCGAAUAUCCAUUGUCCGUGCUGUUAGAAUUUCGCCAUUGUUCAGGCUGACGCGAACAGAAGGAUUCUCCAGGUAAGGGAAAUAGCACGUAUAUUUGGAACUGUCUACUGCUGGUCCACGUGGAUCACGAGCCAUCUCCACGUGCACAAGCACAAGCGAGAGCAUAGCGUAGAUUCUACUCGAGGAUUGAGGAUUACAUUGUUGGCUUCUCACUCUACGUGAAAGUGUGUCUGAUACACACUAGCCCCCUAUGCUUGGGCUUGACUGAAAGAAGAAAAAACAGGGAAAAAGAGAGAAAGAGAGACUGGACUGUGUUACGUGACCAGCAAACCAAUGCAACUAUCUCGUUUCUUCUUCUUUCAAAAAAGAAAAAAAAAGGAAAAAGGAAUCUUUCCCCUUUUAUUUCGCACCCCCUUUUCUUCAUCCUUUAUUCCCUUUUAUCUUUCUUUAUGCAGUCUAUUGAACCUUAACAUCCACCCUUAUUUAAUCAUUGAGAUGUUUCCGAAAAUUUUUAUGGUUAAUAAUUUCUUUCUUAAGUUCAUUAAACAUGUCGUUUUUAUAUGAUAUAUUACAAAUCGAUUUAUUCUAUCGUCGGACAGACAAGUCAAAAUGCGACUUACCACCCAGCAGAAAAAGACCACAGGCUACCAAUGUUCUAUGAUCCGAGUAACAAUGGCCGAUCAGUGCGAAGAUAGUACCAGCGAGAAUCAAGACAACGGCGAUCACUUGAAACGGUGCCGAGAUCCUGAAACAUAUAUAUCAUGCUAAUGUGAAAAAGAGAGAAGGAGUUUCAGAAACUUAAUGAACUGGCAUUAUAACUCAUAAAUAUUGGGAAGUAUAUCGUUUUGAAGGGGAUAGUUCAAGGUAUAUUUCAGUGCAAUGGUAAAAUUCAAGUUGAACUGCAUUGACUUAAAUAAUAUCACGUUUUAUAGCAGAUAUAUGUAAAUAUAUCAACGUAAGUAUACAAAAUCUCUUUUUUUUAAGUUAUAUCUAUUUUCAAUAUUUCUAACUGAUAAAUUAUUUUCGAUUCGUAAAUUGUAUUAAUCGACGUAUUAUUUUCUAAUUUAUUUCGAGUUAAAUUAAGAAAGAUUAUUUUUGAACAUCAUAUUUCGAAUACCUUUGAGAGAGAAGCAAAUCAUGAAAGUUUGAUCCAUUUCGCGACUAUAACUAAAACAACGUCCACGGAGAAUGUAUCGGUUACAAGCUAGAGAAGUUGCUUGUUGGAACUAUCCGAGAUCGUAAAUACCGAAGUCUGCAUAGUACAUAUACGUAUAUAGAAUAUGUAUAUGUACCUAUAUAUGUACGUAUGGAACAAUUAUCUAUGUAAAACGAACGGUGACAAUAGCCAACGUGGAUACAUAGUGAAUGUACGAUUGCUCGAGAAAGGUACGUAACGUCCAAGCCUAUGAUGGUCAUUGUUAAACUGUCCACGUUCUACCUGCCUUAUAUGUUGGCAAGUAGAGGCAGACGCCACUCUGUAUCACUGCGGAUCCACGCAAAUGUAGCCACGGCAAGAAUUAUGCGCGUAAUCAGUGCCUCUUACCCAUAAUCUAUGACGCCGUUAUUAUUUAUUCGGUUAAUCAUUAUACUCAUGCGAAUUACUCGGAACUGGAGAAUAUUGCACGUUGGAUUUCGAUUACACGAGGGAGAUAUAUGCGGUAAAAUUUGUUAAAACGUACAUAUGUAAGUAGGGAAUUACAGAGAUAGAUAAAGCGAUCAUUAAUUAGAUCUAAUAAGAGAAAUGAUAAAAAUAAUUAGAUGAAACGUCUUCAUUUUCAUAGAUCGAACAACAUUCAAAUCAAUGAAAUCAAAGAAAGUACCACUUGAACUUUUAUUAAUUUCUAUUUUUUACAAAUUCGAAUGGAUUUUUGAAUUUAUUCGAACCAGAUACAUAUCACCUAAAUGUGAAUUUAACCUACUGAAGUUUUUAUUUACCAAGCGAAAUCUAACUUAUUAUUUUUUCACACGCCUCGUUAAUGCGUUUCCCUUCUCCGUCGCAAUCCCUCGAACAAUAUCUUCUCGUGUCAUUUAUCAAGAUUUAUAAAAUUAAAACAAGCGAAGAAAAAUGUUUAAAGUUAUCGAAAUCGAUGAACUGACUGACUGAAUUUCUGUAAAUUAUAGUCCUUUACAAAAGUUGUAUAACCUUCAUCGUUUUAGUUCAAUAGAAAAGAAAGAACUAAAUUUUGAUGAUCAUCAGCUGAAUAGACUCUCUCGAUACGGACAAUCUUUGUGACGAAAGAAUACGUACUCUAAAAAUGCACCCUCUGAAAACAAGUUGGUCGUUAUACAUAUCUCGGAGGCUUGUUACCUUAAGGGUGGAAUAUCUAGUGUAUUGUCGAAGGCGAGUAUUGAAAAACGGUGUGAGUGUUGUUGGCCAUGUGGGUGACAGAAAGAGAGAGAACGAGAGAAAAUGAGAGGGAAAGAGGGAGAGAGAGAGAGAGAGAGAGAGAGAGAGAGAGAGAGAGAGAGAGAGAGAGAGAGAGUAGAGAAGCUCGAACCCGUUGUGUAAUAGGUACAUGUAUUCGUACGUAUCGGGGUAAAUGGAGCGUGCUAGGUAACGGUGCGUCUCUCAGCUCGCCUCAGCAACCCCUGCUUCUUCGUCCUACUCUUCCUCAGCUACCCUCUUCUCUCACCCCAUCUCCACUCAUCCUAUUUGAUAAACCACCGCGAUGACGUUUAGGUUUUGAUCUCUACGACAAUUUCACGGUAUAUAAGCAUUCUUGCUUUUUAUUUAAAAGUUCUAUAUAUAUAUUUGUAUAUAAUUAUAUAACAUAUAUAUGUACAUACAUACAUACAUAUAUAUAUAUAUAUAUAUAUAUACAUGAAUAUACAUGUACAUAUAUCUACUUCAUAUAGGGAUGUCUCCCAUAUGUUAUAUACAAGAGAUCAAUCGUCAAAUAGAAAAGGGAGUUUCUUUGUUUUGAAAGAAAAAAAGAAGGGGGAGAUUCGUAAACGAAAUUGUCGUCUCGUCGAAAUCUUGAAUUUUAUUGCCGUUCUAUCUUGACAUCUUGACACAAGGAAUUUGUUUACCAAAGGAGGAAGAGCAAUGGAAGAUAAUAUGGUGGAAAUUCAAUUAUCAGGACGUAUCUACUAUUGUCAGGAAAUUGCGUUUCAGACUUUAAAAAAAAGGAAGGAUAUGAUUGAAAAUGAUGAAGCGAAGUUUGUUCUCGUGUAAUCGUGGCUUUUUAAACUUCUCUCUUCGUUUGAAAUUUAAUACAAGGCGAGCUGUUUUACGUCUCUACGGUAAAAGGUGACUGUCGGGUAAUGGAGCGUCCUUUAAAGGAUGCGCGCGAGCUUCCAUUUACGUUAAAAGUACUCCAACUUGACGCGUAACGAAAUUCGAUUUUCCGAUAAUUUGUCGCGAAAUGUCGUAAAUAUUCGCGAAUCGAAUUUAAACUGAGAUAUAGUGCAUAUUCGUGUCUAUUAAUAAUGCAACAAAAAAAAAAGAAGAUAAAUUUCCUCUGUCGAUCUUUUGUUCGAACUGUGAUAAAUGAAAUUAAAUGUAGUAUAUUAUAAAAAUUCUUAUACAAAAUAUACGCUUUCUAGUAUUUUCAAUAGUUACAUUCAUUUAAGAGCAUAACUAAUUGAAAUAUCAACAAAAUAUAGGUAUAUAAUUAAUUUUUUAUAUAAUUAAGUUUUAUGCUUUAGAA